rnacentral:tRNA from 1 species
UGGGUGUAGUUCAGUGGUACAGCGUGUGUUUAGUGUGUACAAGGACAUGGGUUCAACCCCCUGCACCAUUAA